rnacentral:rRNA from 1 species
GAUGAACGCUAGCGACAGGCUUAACACAUGCAAGUCGAGGGGCAGCACGGUGUAGCAAUACACUGGUGGCGACCGGCGCACGGGUGAGUAACACGUGUGCAACCAACCCCGUACCGGGAGAUAACCCGCGGAAACGUGGACUAACAUCCCAUGAUACUCGAGAGCCGCAUGGCUCUAGAUUUAAAAUUCCGGUGGUACGGGACGGGCACGCGCGACAUUAGGUAGUUGGUGAGAUAACAGCCCACCAAGCCGACGAUGGGUAGCCGAGCUGAGAGGCUGAUCGGCCACACUGGAACUGAGACACGGUCCAG